rnacentral:lncRNA from 1 species
AGGGCUUUCCCGUUAGAACUCAUAUUAGGACAUUUCAGACAACCUAUUGAAGCAACACAUUUUGUAUUUAGUUAUAAAGAAAAAAGAAAAAAAACCAUAACAAUAUGAUCAUGAAAACAAAAGAGAAAUCAGGUUACCAUCAAAAUAUGUAGGGCAAACAUCUUCAUCCUCUCAUUAUAAUUUGCUUUGAAAUCAUCUUAAUUAGCUCCGAUCUAUGCUUAUUAUUGCUUUGAGUUAUAUGAUUCAUAUUCUUGCAAUAAUUCGACAUGCAUUGACUGAAAAUCAGGGUAAAAUAAGGAAGAGAAAUAUCUAAGUUUAAUUUAUUAUGUUGUACUUAAUGUUUUAUUAUUUUGCAACCUUUUUGAUGUUGUCAAAAAGGGGGAGAAAUAUCUGAGUAAGAGUACAUGCUCAUAAUGCUUUAUGUAUUAUGAAUAAAAUAUAAAUCAGCUUAGAUUGAAAUGUAUUGAUUGGGUUAAGCUGAUUAAAUCUCAAGCAUUAUCAUUAAGUAUGUUUUAAAUAUGCAUGUUUUCUACUUCAUGCAACUUAGCUAUGCAUUAGUUCUAGAACACAAUCUAUUUUAUAUUGUAUAUACUCCAAGUUUUGUCAUCAUCAAAAAGGGGAAGAUUGCUGACCCAAAGAUUGAUUUUGAUAAUUACAAAACCUUGAAGUAUAAUUACUAAUGUUUGUGUUGCAAGAAGAAUGAUAUUUGUUUUGCAAGGAGCAUAACAAGUUGGAAGAAUAGAAGAAGGCCUCAAAAGCUCUCAAAAAGUUGAAAGAAAGCUAUACUUCAUUGGCCCAAGUUUCAAGUUCAAAGAAUUCAAGUUGGAGUAGCAAAUUCAAAGUAAAAUCCAAAAGAACAAUCCUCGAGUUGACUCCUAGAAGCCUCGAGUCGACUCUGGCACAAAUGGUAACUUUGGCACAGAGUGCGAGCUGACUUGCGAGCGGACUUGUAGAGCGCGAGUCGACUCGAAUUGUUCACGAGCCAACUCGCACAGAAAAGACAGAAAGCUGAUUUUUAAGUUGCUGAGGGCGAAUCGACUUCCGACAAGCUUGAGUCGACUCCUGCUUCAGCCGAGUCGACUCAAAGUCUGCACGAGUCGACUCGAGCACGCUGGAAGGCAUAAUAGCUAGUUUUUCACGACUCCAACGACUAGUUUUUCAUCUCUGACGACUUUAUUUCAUCUCUAACUGCUAGAAGAAGCUUUCCACAUGUUCUUAAGGCUAUAAAUUCAUGGAAAUACUAUCAAACAACAAGAGGAAGAGCUCCACAAGAUCAAAUCCUUCAAGAAUCCAAAAAGAGAGAGCAUAACGCCAAAUCCACAAAAAGGCCAAAUAUUUGAGCAAAACGAGAGCUAUUCAAGUUAGGAUCAAUCAGAGCAUCCACCAAGAGCCUCAAGAUCACAUCCUCAACCUCAAUCAAUUGGUGAAGAGCUUCAAAGAUCAACCACUACACCAAUCUGAGUUUUGCUCUUUUCUUUCUCUUGUAUUUUAUAUCUUGAGCAUAACUCUAGUGUGCAUUAAUUUUUUCAAUUCUUGUACUUGUAAAGGUUCUUCCAAACCUAAAUUGGAAGUUAUUGAAUUAAGGGGAUUCAACAAGGGAGAGGUUGUUGGUGAGCCAGUAAAAACCAACGUUGUAGGUUGUAGUUGGUAAUCCAGGGAAAACCAACUGGGUUGGAUUGUGAGCCCGUGAAAACAGUCGGAUUGGUUCUAGUCGGUGAGCCUGUGAAAACCGACCAAGUUCGUUGUAAUCUCGUGAAAACAACAAGUUGAUUGUGAGCUUGUAAAACAAUCGGACUGUAAUCGGA